GACGAACGCUGGCGGCGUGCUUAACACAUGCAAGUCGAACGGAAAGGCCCUGCUUUUGUGGGGUGCUCGAGUGGCGAACGGGUGAGUAACACGUGAGUAACCUGCCCUUGACUUUGGGAUAACUUCAGGAAACUGGGGCUAAUACCGGAUAGGAGCUCCUGCUGCAUGGUGGGGGUUGGAAGGUUUCGGCGGUUGGGGAUGGACUCGCGGCUUAUCAGCUUGUUGGUGGGGUAGUGGCUUACCAAGGCUUUGACGGGUAGCCGGCCUGAGAGGGUGACCGGCCACAUUGGGACUGAGAUACGGCCCAGACUCCUACGGGAGGCAGCAGUGGGGAAUAUUGCACAAUGGGCGGAAGCCUGAUGCAGCAACGCCGCGUGCGGGAUGACGGCCUUCGGGCUGUAAACCGCUUUCGCCUGUGACGAAGCGUGAGUGACGGUAAUGGGUAAAGAAGCACCGGCUAACUACGUG
rnacentral:rRNA from 1 species